UACGGGGGGGGCAAGCGUUGUUCGGAAUUACUGGGCGUAAAGGGCUCGUAGGUGGCCAACUAAGUCAGACGUGAAAUCCCUCGGCUUAACCGGGGAACUGCGUCUGAUACUGGAUGGCUUGAGAUUGGGAGAGGGACGCGGAAUUCCAGGUGUAGCGGUGAAAUGCGUAGAUAUCGGGAGGAACACCAGUGGCGAAAGCGGCUACCUGGCCCAUUCUUGACGCUGAGGCGCGAAAGCUAGGGGAGCAAACGGG
rnacentral:rRNA from 1 species